UGGGGAAUAUUGGACAAUGGGCGCAAGCCUGAUCCAGCCAUGCCGCGUGUGUGAAGAAGGCCUUCGGGUUGUAAAGCACUUUUGUCCGGGAAGAAAACCCUGGGGCUAAUACCCACGGGGAAUGACGGUACCGGAAGAAUAAGCACCGGCUAACUUCGUGCCAGCAGCCGCGGUAAUACGAAGGGUGCAAGCGUUACUCGGAAUUACUGGGCGUAAAGCGUGCGUAGGCGGUUUGUUAAGUCAGAUGUGAAAGCCCCGGGCUCAACCUGGGAACUGCAUUUGAUACUGGCGAGCUAGAGUACGGUAGAGGGUGGUGGAAUUCCCGGUGUAGCGGUGAAAUGCGUAGAGAUCGGGAGGAACAUCUGUGGCGAAGGCGGCCACCUGGACCAGUACUGACGCUGAGGCACGAAAGCGUGGGGAGCAAACAGG
rnacentral:rRNA from 1 species